GACACUUUUCCUAUAUAUUGGGACCCCUCUUCUAACCAUAUACUCAGCAAAACAAACAAGCAAUUUCAGUACCUACCACGGCACACCAUCAAGUUGAUAACCUUAAAAAGGUUGGCCGGAUUAGAUGCCCUUGCCAUUAUAGAGGAACGCUUUGGCCGAGGGUCGUCGACUUAUCAUAAGAAGCCAGCCCCAUACCAAUACUAUCAGGAACCAUGUGAGCCUUACUUUAGAAUCUACCGUCCCCCGGCCAGUACCGAAGCUAUGAGUUGCAGGAGGCAGGAGGGCAGCUGAAAACAUGGCGGGAAACUGAUUAAGGAUCAUGGCCACAUAAGUAAAUCUUGUAGUCGGGGUUAUAUCUAUAAUUAACUUGGUUACCUUAGCUGCUUCUUUAUCUGCUGUUUUUUCAGUAUAACAGUAACAGCACUAAAGCUACUGUUAGGCCUUCUCAGCCGAGAGUAGUUACGGACAUACAUGCGUAUGUCUAUUUGUGUGUGCUUUGUAUGUAUGUAAGACCUUGUCGCUUAUAGAAGAUAAUGUUUUGCUUGUAAAAAUUU
rnacentral:lncRNA from 1 species